rnacentral:tRNA from 1 species
GCGGUUGUGGCUCAGUGGUAGAGCGCUUGCCUAGCAUGUAUGAGGCACUGGGUUCAAUUCUCAGAACGGCA